rnacentral:rRNA from 1 species
GACGAACGCUGGCGGCGUGCCUAAUACAUGCAAGUCGAACGCUGAAGGAGGAGCUUGCUUCUCUGGAUGAGUUGCGAACGGGUGAGUAACGCGUAGGUAACCUGCCUGGUAGCGGGGGAUAACUAUUGGAAACGAUAGCUAAUACCGCAUAAGAGUAGAUGUUGCAUGACAUUUGCUUAAAAGGUGCAAUUGCAUCACUACCAGAUGGACCUGCGUUGUAUUAGCUAGUUGGUGGGGUAACGGCUCACCAAGGCGACGAUACAUAGCCGACCUGAGAGGGGGAUCGGCCACACUGGGACUGAGACACGGCCCAGACUCCUACGGGAGGCAGCAGUAGGGAAUCUUCGGCAAUGGACGGAAGUCUGACCGAGCAACGCCGCGGGAGGGAAGAAGGUUUUCGGAUCGUAAAGCUCUGUUGUAAGAGAAGAACGAGUGUGAGAGUGGAAAGUUCACACUGUGACGGUAUCUUAACAGAAAGGGACGGCUAACUACGUG